AAAACAGGCCACAGGGCCCGUAUCUAUGGGACAUUACAUAACUCUAUCCUGUUCACAUCUCCAUUACUCUUCUCUCCUCUCCCCAAGUCAGCCUAAGAAGAUGUCUUCUACUUGAGUGUCAAGGAAGCCCCCUAUCCUUCAAGGUGCUUCUUUUCAAUGUCCUAUCCAUGCCCAAUACCCAAAGUAGCUCUAUUAUCCUGAGAAGAAGAAGCCAGGAAGAACCUUUCUGCUCUGCUUUUCAACCUGUCAUGAACUUCCCCUAAGGAAAUAAGCACAGAGGAUGAUCUUACUUGAAGGGAGAAGGAGAGUGCCAGCCAGAGAAAAGCAGGAUGCUGCCAGAGCAUGGCUUGAUGUGUGAUGUGUAGUUCCACACCCGGGAUCCAAACCCACAAACCCUGGGCUGCUGAAGGGACAUCUGGAAAGUGCAGAGAAG
ensembl:lncRNA